rnacentral:rRNA from 1 species
GACGGAGGAUGCAAGCGUUAUCCGGAAUUAUUGGGCGUAAAGCGUUCGCAGGUGGCUGUUCAAGUCUGCUGUCAAAGACCGGGGCUUAACCCCAGAAAGGCAGUGGAAACUGAACGGCUGGAGUGCAGUAUGGGUAGAGGGAAUUCCCAGUGUAGCGGUGAAAUGCGUAGAGAUUGGGAAGAACACCGGUGGCGAAAGCGCUCUGCUGGACUGCAACUGACACUGAGGGACGAAAGCGUGGGGAGCAAACAGG